AGAGAAAGUAAGACGACUGAAUUGUAGGGUUUUUAAGCAUGCGUUUUGCUAAUGCUGUCAUUAUUAAUAUCGAUUAGAGUCUCGUAGCUCAGCCGGUUAGAGCGCUACACUGAUAAUGUAGAGGUCGGCAGUUCGAGUCUGCCCGAGACUACAACGAUAAAGGGAAUUUAUAGUUGAGAGUUCUACAUUUUGAAUUCUUAUCAGAUUCAGAAUGGGGAAUUAGCUCAGCUGGCUAGAGCACUUGAUUUGCAUUCAAGAGGUCGUGGGUUCGACUCCCACAUUCUCCACAAGUUUUUAACUUAAACGAUCAUUGACAUAUUGAAAAUUUUUAUUUCACAAACACCAGUUAUCCAAUUUGUGUUUGUGAUUAUAGAUACACUACAAGGUAUAAAUUGGUUUUACCAAUUUGUACGAAGGUAUGAAUUGGUUUUUACCAAUUUGUACGAGCAUAAUAAUAAAUACAAUUUCAAAGAAAAGUAAAGUUAC
rnacentral:tRNA from 1 species